CUGGCCCGGAAGCUUCUCUUGG
rnacentral:snRNA from 1 species